rnacentral:rRNA from 1 species
UACGGAGGAUGCGAGCGUUAUCCGGAUUUAUUGGGUUUAAAGGGUGCGUAGGCGGCUUUUUAAGUCAGCGGUGAAAUUUUGCAGCUCAACUGUAAAAGUGCCUUCGAAACUGGUUUCCUUGAGUGUAGAUGAAGUAGGCGGAAUUUGUGGUGUAGCGGUGAAAUGCGUAGAUAUCGGGAGGAACAUCGGUGGCGAAGGCGGGUAACUGGACUGCAACUGACGCUGAGGCGCGAAAGCGUGGGGAGCAAACAGGAUUAGAUACCCUGGUAGUCCCUGA